CUUAUUUGAAUCGUAAAGUAGAAUUUAGAUUUGGAGAAGAAAUGAUAAAAGAAAGCAUGAAAUUUAUUUUAGGGACCAGGAUUAGAUACCCUGUUACUUUUAAUGAAAAAUUUUUGGAAUAAUAGUAAUAAUGAAAUUUAACGGAUUUGGCGGCAAGAUAGCCCCUUAGAGGAACCUGCCCUAUAAACGAUGAACCACGAAAGCCAUUACUUUCCUUUGAGAUCAGUUUGUAUAUCGCUGUUGUCAGUUAGAUUCAAGAGAAUAUUUUCGUUAAUGAUAAGAUCAUUGACUUCAAGUAAAGGUGCAGCUUAUAGGAAAGAUAGAGGUGGGUUACAUUUAUGUGAAUAAGACGGAUAAGAUAAAUGAAGAAAUCUUUGAAGGUGGAUUUAACUGUAAAACUUAAUAAAGUUUGGUGAGAGCUCUAUCUUGUGUACACACCGCCCGUCGCUCUCCUUUUUUAAAAU
rnacentral:rRNA from 1 species